rnacentral:rRNA from 1 species
UACGUAGGGUGCGAGCGUUGUCCGGAAUUAUUGGGCGUAAAGAGCUCGUAGGCGGCCUGUCGCGUCGGAUGUGAAAGCCCGGGGCUUAACCCCGGGUCUGCAUUCGAUACGGGCAGGCUAGGGUGUGGUAGGGGAGAUCGGAAUUCCUGGUGUAGCGGUGAAAUGCGCAGAUAUCAGGAGGAACACCGGUGGCGAAGGCGGAUCUCUGGGCCAUUACUGACGCUGAGGAGCGAAAGCGUGGGGAGCGAACAGG